AUUGAACGCUGGCGGCAGGCUUAACACAUGCAAGUCGAACGAGUGGCGGACGGGUGAGUAAUGCUUGGGAAUCUACCUUAUGGAGGGGGAUAACUACUGGAAACUGUAGCUAAUACCGCAUACCAUCGGAUGUGCCCAAGUGGGAUUAGGUGGUUGGUGAGGUAAAGGCUCACCAAGCCGACGAUCGCUAGCUGGUCUGAGAGGAUGACCAGCCACACUGGGACUGAGACACGGCCCAGACUCCUACGGGAGGCAGCAGUGGGGAAUAUUGCGCAAUGGGGGCAACCCUGAUGCAGCCAUGCCGCGUGAAUGAAGAAGGCCUUCGGGUUGUAAAGUUCUUUCGGUAGGGAGGCGUUAACUACAGAAGAAGCACCGGCUAACGCCGUGCCAGCAGCCGCGGUAAUAC
rnacentral:rRNA from 1 species